CAGCCUCGGCCACCUGCCCAGGAAGCCAGUACUCCCCUCGUCUUCACUAAACAUCCCGUGAGUCAGACCCACAGGAAGCCGGCUUGCAGUCUGCACAGGCCGUCUACGAGGAAGCUGCGCAGGAACAGCUGUGACGAUCGGCACCCGCAGCCGGGCAGGACCGCCCUGCGACGGACAGCUGCCCCACCUUCUGUCCCUGCUUCCAGCUCAGGACCAGCAGGCGGCACGGCUCCUGAGACAGUGGGUGCUCAGUGAAUGUGUCUGACCAGAUGGAUGAAGACAGCCUCGGGUUAGUCGCCCAGCUACCCUCCUGGUCAUAAGAAGAAGAUGCAGGAAGCUUUAGGGAUGAGGAAGUAGCUCAUCUGUCUUCAAACGCACGUGAAGGGCCACCCAUCACCUAGUAAUCGCCCCUCCCCCAUGUCACAGCCACCUGCGCAGGGGAGCUUCCCGCCUUAUUCUCCCUUCACGCUGAGCAGUUACGACCGUAUCUGUUCAGAAGAAACAUAUGUGAGAAAUAUAAAAUACUCAGGCAGGUGAAUGGAACGUCUCAGUUAAUCUUUUCUUCUGCACAUUCUGCCCUGGACCUUCUGCCUCCCUUAAAUAUUUUUCUUCCCUGAAUUUAUAGCCCCUCAGACUCUGUUUUGUAAUUUCAGGACUGGGUUGGGGACUGACUCUGCCUCCUUAUCACCGAUGAUCUCGACUUUAACUCUGUGCUUUAAAGUACUUCCCCAAAGAGCCCUCCCCCGUGGUUCUUGCCACGGAAGACGCCGCCUGCCUGGCGGAGCCGGGGUGAUGCUCGGGGUGGGUCAGAGACCCUCGCUGACUGACCCUCUGUGUGCUCUUUCCCUGCCCACAGCCUCCUCUGCGCCCGUGACCUCCUGGCCUGUCCAGUCCCUCGGCUCUGCGGCCUGUGGAGUCCCCUCCCUGGGCUCCUGUCAGGAGCCCGACGUGGUGGUCAGCGGGCAGAACCGGGGCCGUUUUCAACACCUUUCGUGCACUCCUCCCGGCAAACCCUGAGGCAUAAACAACCUCACUCUAUAAGAGGAAGCAAACCCAGGGAGGUUACGGAGACGCCUGGGGCCUCAUAAUAGCUAACUGUGGCCCAGCGGGGCCUGAACCCUGGGCUGUGUCCUUCUGCUGAAUUUGUGGGGAAGCAAAGGCACCUGGGCCCCAGGCGGAUGGGAAGACACGGCACCUACAGUCAUAUUUAUUUACUGUAAACCUGCCAGAGAGUAAAU